AAUCAACGCUGGCGGCGUGCCUAACACAUGCAAGUCGAACGAGAAAGUGGAGCAAUCCAUGAGUACAGUGGCGACCGGGUGAGUAACACGUGACUAACCUACCUUCGAGUGGGGGAUAACCUCGGGAAACCGAGGCUAAUACCGCAUAACAUCGAGAGAUCAAAGGAGCAAUUCGCUUGAAGAGGGGGUCGCGGCUGAUUAGCUAGUUGGCGGGGUAAUGGCCCACCAAGGCGAAGAUCGGUAGCCGGCCUGAGAGGGCGCACGGCCACA
rnacentral:rRNA from 1 species